GAGUUUUUGCAUGUUGGCCAGGCUGGUCUUGAACUCCUGACCUCAAGUGAUCCACCCGCCUCGGCCUUCCAAAGUGCUGGGAUUACAGGCAUGAGCCACUGUGCCCAGCCACUGUUUGUCUUUGAUUGUCUUCACCACCAAAUGGAUUUGGUAUUGGAAGAAUGAAUCUGGCACAUGGAUUCAGUAUGGAGAAGAGGUGAGCACUGUUCCUCCUUGUAGGGGGCUCUAUACAAGAAUCAGCCGGGUGUGGUGGCUCAUGCCUGUAAUCCCAGCUAUUCGGGAGGCUGAGGCAGGAGAAUCGCUUGAACCCAGGAGGUGGGGGUUGCAGUGAGCUGAUAUCACACCAUUGCACUCCAGCCUGGGUGACAGAGAGAGACUCACUGAGUCUCAAAAUAAUAAUAAUAAUAAUAAUAAUAAUAAUAAUAAUAAUAAUAAUAAAGAAAGAAAGAGGUCCUCCC
rnacentral:lncRNA from 10 species